rnacentral:rRNA from 1 species
UACGUAGGGUGCGAGCGUUAAUCGGAAUUACUGGGCGUAAAGUGUGCGCAGGCGGCCGCGCAAGUCGAGUGUGAAAGCCCCGGGCUUAACUUGGGAAUUGCGCUCGAAACUACGUGGCUGGAGUGUGGCAGAGGAAGGUGGAAUUCCACGUGUAGCGGUGAAAUGCGUAGAGAUGUGGAGGAACACCAAUGGCGAAGGCAGCCUUCUGGGCCAACACUGACGCUCAUGCACGAAGGCGUGGGGAGCAAACAGG